UACGGUGUACAUUUUAGGACAUCGUCAGGUAUCAGAAAAAAAAUUGUCAGGUGUCAGUUGUCAAAAAAAAAAUUGUCAGGUAUCAGAAAAAAAAUUGUCAGGUGUCAGUUGUCAAAAAAAAAAAAGUCAGGUAUCAGACAAAAAAUUGUCAGGUGUCAGAAAAAAAGUUGUCAGGUGUCAGAAAAAAAAUUGUCAGGUGUCAGAAAAAAAAUUGUCAGGUGUCAGAAAAAAAGUUGUCAGGUGUCAGAAAAAAAAUUGUCAGGUGUCAGAAAAAAAAUUGUCAGGUGUUAGAAAAAAAAUUGUCAGGUGUCAGAAAAAAAGUUGUCAGGUGUCAGAACACAAGGUACCAGAGAGAAAAUCUUCCUGCAGGUGGCGCUGUUGUCAUGUCCCACCCGAAUUGAUUUCCAAAUACGUCAUCAACGUGUGACCGUGGGAGAGCGUAAGGUCAUUGACCUCACCGGAGUUUUACCGUGGUUCAGGCUCCUAACGACACAAGGUAAGUUUAACUUUUUCUCCCUUUUGUUCAUAUUUUUGCC
ensembl:lncRNA